GGAGGGGGAGCGGGGGAGGCGGGAGGAGGAUUCAUGGUAGGAACUUAACUGCCUCCAAUCCCUGGAUCUCUUGCACCUGCUGGAGAAGCCCAGCAUGCCCUCAGGAGGAGAGCCUGGAGGCCUGGUAAUCUCCACACCCACCUCUGGGGAAGCCUGGGCAGAGACUGGGCUUCCGGGGUGGAGCUCCCCCUCCCAGCUCUGCUACCUUAGGGGCAGACCCUGAGAAGACACACUUCCUGGGCCAGGCCCAGGGUCUGAAGAGCCAGUGGGGUGAGGGGACAGGUGGGCAGCCUGCCCUGAAAGCCCUAGGAUGGUGACUCAGAGAAGGAACUUCUGCUGGAAGACUCUUGAGCCGCAGCAGCCACUGGACCUGCUCACCCACGAUCACGCGGCAUUCUGGGUAUCUCCCUGCACAAGUCCUAGACAGGACAUCUACUUAUCAUUGAAAAGAAAAGUAACCGUGCUCCCCUGGCAUUCACAAAAGGCGUCCACUCAUUCAAGCAUUCGCCGACUCAUUCGAUCUGCAUUAUGGGGUCCCUGCGGCAUUAGAUUCCUGCAGCAUGACAUGUCUCAUCCUUACUGAGGCAACUGCACUCCAGGUGGGUGUGAAGAUGAAAGGAGUUCGUGUGAGCAGAGGGCACCAGGCCCAGUGCCUGCCCUGUGAUUAUUGCUCUGGGAAUAUUAGCUAUUACUCUGACCACCAGAAACCAUAUGGGCCAUGUCAUUACUUUGUGAUGUGUCUGCAAAUCCCCAAUUGAACUGCUAUACACUAAUGAUUCUAAACUUUAUCCUUUAUCUUCCCACCAAACCCCUGGCCUUUGUUGGGAAAAUAGAAGCAAUCAGGUAGAACUUUUCCAAUCACUGUUCUCUAAAUCUACAAGUUUCAACCUCCUCCUAUUUUAGAGGUAGUUGGUUUCUGGGGUUGUGCUCCUGACCACUGAAAUUGGAGGACAGUAGGAGUGGUUUCUAAGACUGGGAAAGGCUGAGCAUCCAUCCAACCAUCCAACCGCCCAUCCAUCCAUCCAUCCAUCCAUCCAUCAUAAAUACCUAGCAGGAAGGGGCCUGGAGCCUGGAGAAAUGUGAUUUGAAGAUGAAGAGAAGAUUGAGGUCUCAAGGGAUAACCAGGCUGGACUUCUUUUCUUUCUAAAUCAACACUCCCUAUGCCAUCUCCUGCCCGCCCACCCAAGUACAUGGAGUGGUCAAAGGUGGGCAGUGGGAGGACUGGACUGAAGGUCCCACUCUAGGCAUCCUGUCACCACCUGGGUAUGUGACGAAAGGCAAAAAGGCCAGUGAGGAGGCCGUGAAGAAAGCCUGAGGAAGGUGGUGGAGUGGGGGAUACACCUUCGAGCUUCUGUUACUCUCCUGGGCUAUGUGAGCAACUGACAGAACAAGAAAGGCCCGUGCACUUCCCCCAUCUCCAGGCAGGCUUCUUUACAACCCCAGGCAGACAGACAAACAGAUGGUGAUGUUUUCCUUUCCAGACAGCAUCCUCAGCAGCUGCCACUGACUCAGCCUCUCCACCUCUGUCUGGGUGCGGUAGGCAGGCAGCUUGAUCCCCAGGGUUGACAGUGUACGUGGCACGAGGUGUCAAGUCACAGACAUCUGCAGACGUGGAGACCUUUGAUUUUUGCCCAAGGCCCAGGACGUUUGCUUCAAGGCCAGGACUCUCCUUCACCUGUCACUCAGCCUCACCAGCCAGCUCUGGACCCCAACAACCAUCAGCCCCCUUCGUGGACAUGCAGAUGGAGAGUCCUUGGAGGCACAGCAGGUCUCAGCUGAAAGGGUGCUAGAGAUUGGCCAGCAUUCCCCCUUGAGGAGAAAAAAAAACCAUGUGUCCCUUCUGGAGAAACCUGGUAGUCCCAGGUGCAGCCCCUGCUGAACUAAGUAGGCAGAAAACCCCAGAUGCCCCAUAUUUCUGGUCAAAGAAAAUGCUUUAGUAUGUAGUAUUAAUACAUUUGCCUUUAUACCCA